GCCAGCAUAGUAUAGUGGUCUGGGCAUUGGACUAUGACUCUGGAGAACAGGGUUCAAAUCCCCGUGCAAGUA